rnacentral:rRNA from 1 species
UACGGAGGGUGCAAGCGUUGUCCGGAAUCACUGGGCGUAAAGGGCGCGUAGGCGGCUCAUGAAGGCUGUGGUGAAAGUCCGGGGCUCAACCUCGGAUCGGCCGUGGCGACUCGUGGGCUGGAGCACUGUAGAGGCGGGUGGAAUUCCGGGUGUAGCGGUGGAAUGCGUAGAGAUCCGGAAGAACACCAGUGGCGAAGGCGGCCCGCUGGGCAGUGGCUGACGCUGAGGCGCGACAGCGUGGGGAGCAAACGGG